UUAAAAAGCGUUAAAGCUUAAUCUCUCCCUAUUUUUAAUUUCAUAAAAUUAAAUGACCCCUUAUUUAAUAUUGAAUGACUUCAUAACCUUAUGAAAAUCAUCAUGCUGGAACUAGUAACAAGAAUUUGACGUUCUCCAAAAUGUAAACAUAAACUAUAAUGGACUGUCCACUAGUAAUUAACGUAAAUGAAACUAAUACACCAACAACCCAAGAAAAACCUGUAUGCCACCCCAACGUUAACCUGACACAAGAACACUUAUGGAAAGAUUAAAAGAAAAAGAAGGAACUCGGCAAACUUUAACCCCGCCUGUUUACCAAAAACAUCGCCUCUUGAUAAAGUAUAAGAGGUCCAGCCUGCCCAGUGAAAAAUUCAACGGCCGCGGUACACUGACCGUGCAAAGGUAGCAUAAUCACUCGCCCCUUAAUUAGGGGCCUGUAUCAACGGCAUCUCGAGGGUUAUUCUGUCUCCUUUUUCUAAUCAGUGAAACUGAUCUACCCGUGAAAAAGCGGGUAUUUAGCUAUAAGACGAGAAGACCCCAUGGAGCUUCAAACCAAAAGCAAAUUAAACUUAUAUACCACUGUAACCUCUAUAUGAUGCGUAUCGGUUUUAGGUUGGGGCAACCGCGGAGAAAAAUUUAACCUCCACAACGAAAAGACCUUAGUCUUUAUUCCAGAGCUACCGCUCUAAGAACUAGAAUACUAACGGAUAAUGAUCCAAUUUAUAAUUGAUCAACGGACCAAGUUACCCUGGGGAUAACAGCGCAAUCUACUUUGAGAGUUCUUAUUGACAAGUGGGUUUACGACCUCGAUGUUGGAUCAGGGUAUCCCAGUGGUGCAGCCGCUACUAAAGGUUCGUUUGUUCAACGAUUAAAACC
rnacentral:rRNA from 1 species